rnacentral:rRNA from 1 species
AACGAACGCUGGCGGCAUGCCUAACACAUGCAAGUCGAACGAGACCUUCGGGUCUAGUGGCGCACGGGUGCGUAACGCGUGGGAACCUGCCCUUAGGUUCGGAAUAACUCCCCGAAAGGGGUGCUAAUACCGUAUAAUGUCUUCGGACCAAAGAUUUAUCGCCUUUGGAUGGGCCCGCGUUGGAUUAGCUAGUUGGUAGGGUAAAAGCCUACCAAGGCGACGAUCCAUAGCUGGUCUGAGAGGAUGAUCAGCCACACUGGGACUGAGACACGGCCCAGACUCCUACGGGAGGGAGCAGUGGGGAAUAUUGGACAAUGGGCGAAAGCCUGAUCCAGCAAUGCCGCGUGAGUGAUGAAGGCCUUAGGGUUGUAAAGCUCUUUUACCCGGGAUGAUAAUGACAGUACCGGGAGAAUAAGCUCCGGCUAACUCCGUG